UACGUAGGGGGCAAGCGUUGUCCGGAUUUAUUGGGCGUAAAGAGCGUGUAGGCGGCCAGGUAGGUCGGUUGUGAAAACUCGAGGCUCAACCUCUAGACGUCGACCGAAACCAUCUGGCUAGAGUCCGGAAGAGGAGAGUGGAAUUCCUGGUGUAGCGGUGAAAUGCGCAGAUAUCAGGAAGAACACCCGUGGCGAAGGCGGCUCUCUGGGACGGUACUGACGCUGAGACGCGAAAGCGUGGGGAGCGAACAGG
rnacentral:rRNA from 1 species